rnacentral:rRNA from 1 species
CCCUUAGAUGUUCUGGGCUGCACGCGCGCUACACUGGUGCGUUCAGCGAGUUUAGCACCUUAACAGAUAUGUUUGGGUAAUCUUCUGAAAACGCACCGUGAUGGGGAUCGAUUAUUGUAAUUAUUAAUCGUCAACGAGGAAUUCCUAGUAAGCGUGAAUCAUCAGUUCGCGCUGAUUACGUCCCUGCCCUUUGUACACACCGCCCGUCGCUGCUACCGAUUGAGUGGUCCGGUGAAUUAUUCGGACCGGUGGACUGUGGGGAAACCCGCGGCCUGCUGGGAAGUCUUGUGAACCUUAUCACUUAGAGGAAGCAGAAGUCGUAACA